GCAAAAACUUACACUUGCAUGGCUUAAGCUUUGAGACAAGCAUAUGACUACUGGCAGGAUCAACCAGGUGGUAAAGGACAGAAGAAAAA